GACCCUGUCGUCUAGUCAGGCCUAGGACUCCGGGUUUUCAUCCCGGCAACACGGGUUCGAAUCCCGUCGGGGUCG
rnacentral:tRNA from 1 species